rnacentral:rRNA from 1 species
UGGGGAAUAUUGCACAAUGGAGGGAACUCUGAUGCAGCGACGCCGCGUGAACGAAGAAGGCUUUCGCGUCGUAAAGUUCUUUUAUAUGGGAAGAUAAUGACGGUACCAUAAGAAGAAGCCCCGGCUAACUACGUGCCAGCAGCCGCGGUAAUACGUAGGGGGCUAGCGUUGUCCGGAAUCACUGGGCGUAAAGGGUUCGCAGGCGGAAAUGCAAGUCAGGUGUAAAAGGCAGUAGCUUAACUACUGUAAGCAUUUGAAACUGCAUAUCUUGAGAAGAGUAGAGGUAAGUGGAAUUUUUAGAGUAGCGGUGAAAUGCGUAGAUAUUAAAAAGAAUACCGGUGGCGAAGGCGACUUACUGGGCUCAUUCUGACGCUGAGGAACGAAAGCGUGGGUAGCAAACAGG